CCUACGGGGGGCAGCAGUGGGGAAUAUUGGGCAAUGGGCGCAAGCCUGACCCAGCAACGCCGCGUGAAGGAAGAAGGCUUUCGGGUUGUAAACUUCUUUUCUCAGGGACGAAGCAAGUGACGGUACCUGAGGAAUAAGCCACGGCUAACUACGUGCCAGCAGCCGCGGUAAUACGUAGGUGGCAAGCGUUAUCCGGAUUUACUGGGUGUAAAGGGCGUGUAGGCGGGGACGCAAGGCAGAUGUGAAACCCACGGGCUCAACCUGUGGCCUGCAUUUGGAACUGUGUUUCUGGAGAACAGGGGGGGCAGACGGAAUUCCUGGUGUAGCGGUGAAAUGCGUAGAUAUUAGGAGGAACACCAGUGGCGAAGGCGGUCUGCUGGACAGCAACUGACGCUGAGGCGCGAAAGCGUGGGGAGCAAACAGGAUUAGAUACCCUGGUAGUC
rnacentral:rRNA from 1 species